rnacentral:rRNA from 1 species
GUACGGAAGGCAGCAGUGGGGAAUUUUGCACAAUGGGCGAAAGCCUGAUGCAGCAACGCCGCGUGUGUGAUGAAGGUCUUCGGAUCGUAAAGCACUUUCGACCGGGAAGAAAACCUCUUGGCUAACAUCCAAGGGCUUGACUGUACCGGGAGAAGAAGCACCGGCUAACUCUGUGCCAGCAGCCGCGGUAAUACAGAGGGUGCAAGCGUUGUUCGGAAUUAUUGGGCGUAAAGCGCGUGUAGGCGGCUUGACAAGUCGGGUGUGAAAUCCCUCAGCUCAACUGAGGAAGUGCGCCCGAAACUGUUUGGCUUGAAUACCGGAGAGGAUGGCGGAAUUCCCCAAGUAGAGGUGAAAUUCGUAGAUAUGGGGAGGAACACCGGUGGCGAAGGCGGCCAUCUGGACGGCUAUUGACGCUGAGACGCGAAAGCGUGGGGAGCAAACAGGAUUAGAUACCCCUGUAGUCCU